rnacentral:lncRNA from 1 species
CCCAGGCUUUGGGAGACCACAGACCUCGGUUUGAAUACUGGGUCCCCCACCCACUGACUCUCUUCUCCGGCCUCGGGUCCUCAGCUGUCAGUGGGAGCACGGUCACAGUGCCUCCUCGAGGAUUACUGGCAGCAUGUGGGGGAUCUGGGCGGGCAGGUCCCUGGGCCAGCCUGGCACAUGGCAGGAACCCAGCAGAGAGAGGGCAGCCAUUUCCACCAGGAUUGGCUAUUCUCCCAGGGGCCAUCACUUGUCCCCUCGUCUUAAGCUGUGGUGGCCGCCCCUCCUCUGUCCAUGGUCCUGCUUACCCCCCGGAGCCCGGGCUGCCUGCUCUCUCUCGGCUCAGCCCCAGAACACACCUUCUCUCCAUCUCCCUCGCUUGGGUGCCAACGGCCUUGCAGGUGACUUGCAGGGGUGCCUCUCUGGUGCUCCCUGGCAGCCAGGGUUGGUGCCUCCUUUGAUGAACUGGGAGCUUGUUCCAAACGGAGGGAGAGAGAGUUGAAAAUUGCCGUGGAGCAGCGUGGAGGGAAAGAUGCGGGUACGCACGUGAAAGUCUCGACGGAUGUGAUAAUUAUUUACGGUUUCUGGCAUUGAGUGUUUUUGUUACCCAGUUAAAUAGACUCU